rnacentral:lncRNA from 1 species
AUUUUAUUUAUCCUAGGUUGAGCCUUGGGUUGUUGGGGGAUGGCUUCAACUUUUUCUUUAGGCUCGUUUUUGAAACCUAUGCCACGUUUGGUCGAUUUCAAAUUGACAAGAACAUCAUUCAAAUUUUUAUGAGAAGAAUUGAACUUAUCUAGGGUGCCCUUAAGUCUUCUACUUCAUCUUUUAGAUGCAUGCAAGAAGUACAAU